ACGGAAGGCAGCAGUGAGGAAUAUUGGUCAAUGGACGGAAGUCUGAACCAGCCAUCUCGCGUGCAGGAUUACAGCCCUAUGGGUUUUAAACUGCUUUUAUAAGGGGAUAAAGUUAGAUAUGUAUAUCUAUUUGCAGGUACCUUAUGAAUAAGGAUCGGCUAACUCCGUGCCAGCAGCCGCGGUAAUACGGAGGAUCCGAGCGUUAUCCGGAUUUAUUGGGUUUAAAGGGUGCGCAGGCGGCACGUUAAGUCAGCGGUGAAAUGCAGGGGCUCAACCCCGGCACUGCCGUUGAAACUGGCGAGCUCGAGUACGGAUGAAGUCGGCGGAAUGUGAUGUGUAGCGGUGAAAUGCUUAGAUAUGUCACAGAACACCGAUUGCGAAGGCAGCUGACUAAUCCGCAACUGACGCUCAGGCACGAAAGCGUGGGGAUCGAACAGGAUUAGAUACCCUGGUA
rnacentral:rRNA from 1 species